GUGCCUGUGAUACUACGGAUCCCCGAUCGUCCGAGGCGAUGAGGCUUGAAGCGACGGAGAGGAGAGAGCAAGGUCUGGAGACCGCGCCGUUGAUACGGAGGGGAGAUAGCAACCGCCGGCAGCAAUGACGGUGGCGGAGAAGGGAAGCGGACGCCCCCUAGGUUAUCACCUCGGCGCCUUGCUCCAACGGUCGUUUCGAUUGCCCCACCGGACCGUGGUAUGUUACGCGUUAUAUAGAAGGGCAAGUCUCCGACUGCAAUGAGGCGUCACCACGGUGGUUGAUUGGAUCCGGAAGGGGAUUGGUGAG
rnacentral:lncRNA from 1 species